CCACGGUCUGUGGCGCCCACGCGGAACUCGAACGCCUGCAGGGCCUCGUAGUCCAGCGACCUGAGGGCAAACAGCCACAGAAUAGCGUCUUGACUCGGACCCAGCCAGAGACCCUCCCAGAAAAACAAAGAGAAGCAAGACUUGCCUUUGUCUAAGAAAUCGCUCUCCUCCCGCCUCCAUUGCACUUUCCGUCACGCUCUUCCAGGGAAUGUCGCCAAGCUGAACCUCAGACAGAGCUGGGAAACAGUCUUUUGCCCCACAACCUUUGUAGACGGCCUAGUGAAUAAGCCUUUCCAGAGGCUCAGACUUGCUGGCUCAAAAAUCUGCCUGGGCUCUCAACCGCUGGUUUACCACACUGGAUCCGUGCGUCACCGAGCAUGCACAAUGCCUGUGGUUUAAUUCGCCUUCUUAGUCAACAGCGCCACCAUGCGUUCGCUUGCAGUUACAAAAUCUUGGAGAAGGUGUUUUUAUUUUGCUUUAUCGAUUAUUCUUAUCAACCCUAGUUGACGCUACUGGAGGAGUUUCUCAUGUUAUAUGAAUUAAAUAAAUGCAAUCUAGGGAAAUAAAAUGCACUUUUAUCUACGAGCAGCGAUUCUUCCUGGUAGAGUCCUCAUUUACACGAUUUAACGGAAGUGUACACAUACUAGUUUACCCCUCCCCUUUUGUAAUAAUUACACACAAACUUCAAAAGAUUUUUGCUCUAGAUGAU
rnacentral:lncRNA from 1 species